UUUGAUCCUGGCUCAGAAUAAACGCUGGCGGCGUGUCUUAAGCAUGCAAGUCGAACGGCAAGAAAAGCGCUUGCACUCUCCUAGAGCGGCGGAACUGGUGAGUAACACGUGGGUCGACGUACCCUUCGGACGGGGAUAGUCGGUAGAAAUACCGGGUAAUACCGGAUAAGGUCAUACAAGUUGGAGAAAUAUGAGGAAAGUGGCUAUGGCCACGCCGAAAGGAACGGCCUGCGGCCUAUCAGCUAGUUUGGUGAGGAAAAGGCCCACCAAGGCGAUGACAGGUAUCCGGCCUGAGAGGGUGAACGGACACAUUGGGACUGAGAUACGGCCCAGACUCCUACGGGAGGCAGCAGCUAAGAAUAUUCCGCAAUGGACGAAAGUCUGACGGAGCAACGCCGCGUGGAUGAUGAAGGUCGGAAGAAUUGUAAAAUCCUUUUAUUAUUGAAGAAUAAACUGUACAGGGAAUGGUAUAGUGGUGACAGUAGGUAAUGAAUAAGCACCGGCUAAUUACGUGCCAGCAGCCGCGGUAACACGUAAGGUGCGAGCGUUAUUCGGAAUUAUUGGGCGUAAAGGGCACGCAGGCGGUUAUGCCAAGCUUGGUGUGAAAUACUGGGGCUUAACCCCAGAACUGCAUUGAGAACUGCAAGACUAGAGUCAGUGAGGGGGAAUCGGAAUUCCAGGUGUAGGGGUGAAAUCUGUAGAUAUCUGGAAGAACACCAAUGGCGAAGGCAGAUUUCCAGCGCAUGACUGACGCUCAGGUGCGAAGGUGCGGGGAUCAAACAGGAUUAGAUACCCUGGUAGUCCGCACAGUAAACGAUGUACACUAGGUGUCCGGUCAUAAGACUGGGUGCCAAAGCAAACGCGAUAAGUGUACCGCCUGGGGAGUAUGCCCGCAAGGGUGAAACUCAAAGGAAUUGACGGGGGCCCGCACAAGCGGUGGAGCAUGUGGUUUAAUUCGAUGGUACGCGAGGAACCUUACCUGGGUUUGACAUACACACUGAUUAUCAAGAGAUUGGUAAGCGUAGCAAUACGAGUGUGAACAGGUGCUGCAUGGCUGUCGUCAGCUCGUGCCGUGAGGUGUUGGGUUAAGUCCCGCAACGAGCGCAACCCCUACUGCCGGUUACUAACAGGUAAAGCUGAGGACUCAGGCGGAACUGCCUGCGACAAGCAGGAGGAAGGCGGGGAUGACGUCAAGUCAUCAUGGCCCUUAUGUCCAGGGCUACACACGUGCUACAAUGGUUGGAACAGAGUGAAGCGAAGCGGUGACGUGGAGCAAAACGCAAAAAGCCAAUCGUAGUUCGGAUUGGAGUCUGAAACUCGACUCCAUGAAGUUGGAAUCGCUAGUAAUCGCAUAUCAGCACGGUGCGGUGAAUACGUUCCCGGGCCUUGUACACACCGCCCGUC
rnacentral:rRNA from 1 species